rnacentral:rRNA from 1 species
UUAUGGCUCAGGAUGAACGCUGGCGGCAGGCUUAAUACAUGCAAGUUGAACGGUAACAUGUUGUAGCAAUACGAUGAUGACGAGUGGCGCACGGGUGCGUAACACGUGUGUAACCUACCUUAUACAGGAACAUAACGUUGAGAAAUCGGCGCUAACAUUCCAUAAUAUUAUUUGUAGGCAUCUAUGAAUAAUUAAAACUCCGGUGGUAUAAGAUGGGCACGCGUUCCAUUAGCUAGUUGGUAAGGUAACGGCUUACCAAGGCAACGAUGGAUAGGGGUUCUGAGAGGAUAAUCCCCCCACACUGGAACUGAGACACGGUCCAGACUCCUACGGGAGGCAGCAGUAAGGAAUAUUGGGCAAUGGAGGCAACUCUGACCCAGCCAUGCCGCCGUGCAGGAAGACGGCCCUAUGGGUUGUAAACUGCUUUUAAUAGGGAUUAAAGUCGACUACGUGUAGUUGUUUGCAAGUACCUAUAGAAUAAGCAUCGGCUAACUCCGUGCCAGCAGCGGC